ACCAUAUGUUUCUGAUUCAUUGGCAGCUAACUCAUUCUGUCCUGUGGGCUAUGCGGGAAACACUCCAGGCCCUACCUUCACUUUAAAGGGCCAGUGAAAUUCACAACAAUGCAUGGCGUGGGGUGAGAGCUCAGUGAAAACGUCCAUUGCCACUAUUAUUCCCUUUUGACUGGCACCAGGAGGCAAAGUAAUCCAGUGGGAAGAGCUCCAAACCAGUAGAAGAUGUGGAAGCAGAAACUCAGGCUCACUACUUUGCUUGAGGUUAUUGCUAGAAGGGAAUGAAGUUGAGAUUUCAGCCCAGGCCUCUUCCCUACACUUAGGCCCCCCAGGCCAUGACUGGAGGUCUGAAUGGAUGUGUCUGCUGGUCCAGGGAAUGGUUUCCUCUGAAAACUCUCUUUGCUACCUCAUGGGCCUUCAUCCAGCAGGGGAACCCAGGCCUCAUCAUUUCCAUUGUUACCUGCAAACACGGAUCCUGGC
ensembl:lncRNA